GCGCUCACUUUGGCAGCACAUAUACUAAAAUUGGAACUAUACAGAAAAGAUUAGAAUGGCCCCUGUACAAGGAUGACAUGCAAAUUCAUGAAGCAUUCCAUAUUUUU
rnacentral:snRNA from 1 species